rnacentral:rRNA from 1 species
UGGGGAAUAUUGCACAAUGGGCGAAAGCCUGAUGCAGCGACGCCGCGUGAGGGAUGACGGCCUUCGGGUUGUAAACCUCUUUCAGCAGGGACGAAGCGCAAGUGACGGUACCUGCAGAAGAAGCACCGGCUAACUACGUGCCAGCAGCCGCGGUAAUACGUAGGGUGCAAGCGUUGUCCGGAAUUACUGGGCGUAAAGAGUUCGUAGGCGGUUUGUCGCGUCGUUUGUGAAAACCAGCAGCUCAACUGCUGGCUUGCAGGCGAUACGGGCAGACUUGUGUACUGCAGGGGAGACUGGAAUUCCUGGUGUAGCGGUGAAAUGCGCAGAUAGCAGGAGGAACACCGGUGGCGAAGGCGGGUCUCUGGGCAGUAACUGACGCUGAGGAACGAAAGCGUGGGUAGCGAACAGG